rnacentral:rRNA from 1 species
UCUGGUUGAUCCUGCCAGUAGUCAUAUGCUUGUCUCAAAGAUUAAGCCAUGCAUGUCUAAGUAUAAGCAAUUUAUACAGUGAAACUGCGAAUGGCUCAUUAAAUCAGUUAUCGUUUAUUUGAUAGUUCCUUUACUACAUGGUAUAACUGUGGUAAUUCUAGAGCUAAUACAUGCUUAAAAUCUCGACCCUUUGGAAGAGAUGUAUUUAUUAGAUAAAAAAUCAAUGUCUUCGGACUCUUUGAUGAUUCAUAAUAACUUUUCGAAUCGCAUGGCCUUGUGCUGGCGAUGGUUCAUUCAAAUUUCUGCCCUAUCAACUUUCGAUGGUAGGAUAGUGGCCUACCAUGGUUUCAACGGGUAACGGGGAAUAAGGGUUCGAUUCCGGAGAGGGAGCCUGAGAAACGGCUACCACAUCCAAGGAAGGCAGCAGGCGCGCAAAUUACCCAAUCCUAAUUCAGGGAGGUAGUGACAAUAAAUAACGAUACAGGGCCCAUUCGGGUCUUGUAAUUGGAAUGAGUACAAUGUAAAUACCUUAACGAGGAACAAUUGGAGGGCAAGUCUGGUGCCAGCAGCCGCGGUAAUUCCAGCUCCAAUAGCGUAUAUUAAAGUUGUUGCAGUUAAAAAGCUCGUAGUUGAACUUUGGGCCCGGUUGGCCGGUCCGAUUUUUUCGUGUACUGGAUUUCCAACGGGGCCUUUCCUUCUGGCUAACCUUGAGUCCUUGUGGCUCUUGGCGAACCAGGACUUUUACUUUGAAAAAAUUAGAGUGUUCAAAGCAGGCGUAUUGCUCGAAUAUAUUAGCAUGGAAUAAUAGAAUAGGACGUUUGGUUCUAUUUUGUUGGUUUCUAGGACCAUCGUAAUGAUUAAUAGGGACGGUCGGGGGCAUCAGUAUUCAAUUGUCAGAGGUGAAAUUCUUGGAUUUAUUGAAGACUAACUACUGCGAAAGCAUUUGCCAAGGACGUUUUCAUUAAUCAAGAACGAAAGUUAGGGGAUCGAAGAUGAUCAGAUACCGUCGUAGUCUUAACCAUAAACUA